UACGGAGGGUGCAAGCGUUGCUCGGAAUGACUGGGCGUAAAGGGCGCGUAGGCGGCGCACACAGUCAGAUGUGAAAUUCCUGGGCUUAACCUGGGGGCUGCAUUUGAUACGUGUGUGCUUGAGUGGGGAAGAGGGUCGUGGAAUUCCCAGUGUAGAGGUGAAAUUCGUAGAUAUCUGGAGGAACACCAGUGGCGAAGGCGGCGACCUGGGCCAAUACUGACGCUGAGGUGCGAAAGCGUGGGGAGCAAACAGGG
rnacentral:rRNA from 1 species